rnacentral:rRNA from 1 species
CCUACGGGUGGCAGCAGUGGGGAAUUUUGGACAAUGGGCGCAAGCCUGAUCCAGCCAUGCCGCGUGUCUGAAGAAGGCCUUCGGGUUGUAAAGGACUUUUGUUAGGGAAGAAAAAGGAGCGGUUAAUACCCGUUUCUGCUGACGGUACCUAAAGAAUAAGCACCGGCUAACUACGUGCCAGCAGCCGCGGUAAUACGUAGGGUGCGAGCGUUAAUCGGAAUUACUGGGCGUAAAGCGAGCGCAGACGGUUACUUAAGCAGGAUGUGAAAUCCCCGGGCUCAACCUGGGAACUGCGUUCUGAACUGGGUAGCUAGAGUAUGUCAGAGUGGGGUAGAAUUCCACGUGUAGCAGUGAAAUGCGUAGAGAUGUGGAGGAAUACCGAUGGCGAAGGCAGCCCCCUGGGAUAAUACUGACGUUCAUGCUCGAAAGCGUGGGUAGCAAACAGGAUUAGAUACCCUAGUAGUC